GUCACGGUAAUAAUCCAUAUAACGUCCAGUAAUUUGUUAAAUUAGGAGGCAUGUGUGAAAGUGAAACCAAUGUUUAAAUACCAUAAAAACUAGAUAACGGGAAAUGGAAUGGCUGCUCCUGCUCAGUUGGAAGAUGCUCUCUGCUAAAUGCGGCUUGUUUUUUAGAGACAGGUGGGACUUUUUUUGGAAGAAAGUAUAGAUCAGAUAUUGUUUCCCAAAACCAAUCUGAGGAUUUUUGUGAGGAUUAAAGACCUACUUUAGAAAGGCUAACAUAUGCCAUUCCGGUGCACAUCCAAGUGCUAUCCACCCUCGGGUUUUUUGACAACGGGACACAGCGGGACACUUUUCAGCAUACCUCGAUGAGCCAAUCUUUUGGAUGCUAUCAUAAGCAAAACAAACUAUAACAUACACUUUUCAUACACCAUCGCACAACAGGUUGGAGGUCAAAAGGAGUUUCCUUGCCAUCAAUGGGUUCCCAAAUACGAACAGAGCAAAUGGACGUCACCCACAUCGCCAUAAAAGAGUGCCCAUCCCAAAUACGAACAGAGCAAAUGGACGUCACCCACAUCGCCAUAAAAGUGCCCAUCCCAAAUACCAGUUGAAAGAUGUGAACAGAAAUGGCUUUCACUUAAUGUGCAGGUGAAUGUGUUGGAACGCGAGACUAGUUUAUUCUGCAGAACAGCUAUGUUUGUCACGCCCUGAUCUGUUUCACCUGCUCCUGUGAUCAGCUCCACCCCCUCCAGGUGUUGUUUCUUUUCCUCAGUGUAUUUAUCCCUGUGUUUCCUGUCUCUCUGUGCCAGUGUAUUUAUCCCUGUGUUUCCUGUCUCUGUGCCAGUGUAUUUAUCCCUGUGUUUCCUGUCUCUGUGCCAGUGUAGUUUAAAUCCCUGUGUUUCCUGUCUCUGUGCCAGUGUAUUUAUCCCUGUGUUUCCUGUCUCUCUGUACCAGUGUAUUUAUCCCUGUGUUUCCUGUCUCUGUGCCAGUGUAUUUAUCCCUGUGUUUCCUGUCUCUCUGUCCCAGUGUAUUUAUCCCUGUGUUUCCUGUCUCUGUGCCAGUUCGUCAUGUAUGUUUAGUCUAUUCAACCAGCGUGUUUUUCCUGUACUCCUUUUGCUAUUCUCCUUUUUCUAGUCCUCCUGGUUUUGACCCUUGCCUGUUUCUGGACUCUGUACUCGCCUGCCUGACCAUUCUGCCUGCUUGACCAUGAGCCUGUCUGCCACUCUGUACCUCCUGGACUCUGAUCUGGUUUUGACCUUUAACCUGUCCACGACCAUUCUCUUGCCUAUUCCUUUUGGAUUAUUAAACAUUGUAAGACUCCAACCAUCUGCCUCCCGUGUCUGCAUCUGGGUCUCACCUUGUGCCUUGAUAAUGUUGGCCUAUACGCCUACAGGAGAGAGCUGUUGUUGAUGAAUGGCUUACUGGUGAGUGUUAUACCUACACAAGUGCCGUUGCUAAAGCAACUUGAAUUGUCCUAAUGGUUCAUCUCUUUGUAGCUAUGAUUUUAUUUUUACUGGUCAAAGCACAACCGAGCCAAAUAAAACCUUUUGGUUGUAUUCAAUCUCAGACACUAGCACCUCUAUUUCAGACUCAGAUUCGAAAACAAAUGCAUCGUUAUUUUGGGGGGUGGUGCCAUUGUAUUUCAUGGUACGGCGGUGUAUAUUCCACACAGACUUUAAAGAGAUGAUUUAGACCAGGUUAUAUAAGGAUGUUUCUAAAUACAAAUAGCCAAGGUGGUGCACGAGCACUGAGGCUGUGAACAGUUGGUAUUUAUCAACAGUUCCCUCCUACCGGUGUGUGUAUGACGCUCGUAGGAUUAUUUUAGAAAAUCACACUUUUUCUACUUGUACGAACAUUCUACAUUCUAUUCAUCAGUAUUUUAGAAUAGUUUCUGCGCAAUAUUGACAAAUGAGGCCCCAGGUAUUGACAAAUGAGGCCCCGGGUAUUGACAAAUGAGGCCCCGGGUAUCAUCAUCGUUU
ensembl:lncRNA